UACGUAGGGAGCGAGCGUUAUCCGGAUUUAUUGGGCGUAAAGGGCUCGUAGGCGGUUCGUCGCGUCCGGUGUGAAAGUCCAUCGCUUAACGGUGGAUCCGCGCCGGGUACGGGCGGGCUUGAGUGCGGUAGGGGAGACUGGAAUUCCCGGUGUAACGGUGGAAUGUGUAGAUAUCGGGAAGAACACCAAUGGCGAAGGCAGGUCUCUGGGCCGUUACUGACGCUGAGGAGCGAAAGCGUGGGGAGCAAACAGG
rnacentral:rRNA from 1 species